AUUUUGAGAAGUGCAACCCCCACAUUUUACAUGUGAGCCUUUUGCUCCGACAAUUCAAACUAUAAACGGAAAAUAGAGAAACAGAUCCCGCUGCAGAUCACACAACUCACAUCCAUGGCGUCAGCGGCAGUGUUCAGCAUUAAUUCGCCAUGGCAACAAAGCUCCAUCAUCAACAAAGCUUUCAUAUCCCUACCUUUCCUUUCUUCUUCUCACUCACAUCACUCCACUAACUCCGUUUCCAUCAUUUCUCUCUCGUCUACUUCUAAUUUUAACAGAUUCCAUCACGUCCAAAAAGUUUCUGCGGAUGAUAAUCGGGAGAAGGCGUUAGUGAUUUGUGAUUCGAUUGAAUCUGAUAAAUUUAUGGAAAUCGAUAUCUUCAAGCGAUUAUUCCGAAAACGAUCGUUGUGGCGAAGGAUCUUUUUCACCUCGAAGAAAGUUCGUAGCCUCAUUUUGCUUAACGUCAUUACUAUUGUUUACGCAAGUGAGAUUCCAGUGCUGAAAGAGGUUGAAGAACUUAUGGACCCUGCCACAUUCAAUGUAGUCAGAUUUGUUGUGUCAGCAAUUCCUUUUGUACCUGCUACUUUUCGAGCACGAAAUGAUGCUCGUAUAUGCAAGGCAGGGUUGGAGUUGGGUUUAUGGGUCAGCUUAGCGUAUCUUUUACAGGCAAUUGGAUUGCUUACAUCUGAUGCUGGACGUGCAUCUUUUAUCUCUAUGCUUACUGUAAUUGUAGUUCCCUUGUUUGAUGGAAUGUUUGGGGAGGUGAUUCCGCCCCUUACAAUGUUAGGAGCUAUUCUGUCUGUUCUAGGUGUUGCUGUGCUUGAAUCUUGUGGGUCUUCCCCUGACGUUGGAGACCUAUUUAACUUUCUGAGUGCCAUUUUUUUUGGUGUUCACAUGGUGAGAACUGAAAGAAUUUCAAGAACCACAAAGAAAGAGAACUUCACUUCUCUUCUUGGGUAUGAGGUAUGUGUUGUGGCACUUUCAUCAGUGAUCUGGUUCUUUUCAGAGGAAUGGUUUGGUAAAAGUCAUAGAGCUUGGACAUGGGAACUGUUUUGGGACUCACUGGUCUCUUUUCCUUGGACACCAGCAAUAUACACAGGGUUACUCUCAACCGGGCUAUGCUUAUGGAUAGAGCUUUUUACGAACUGUAGAUGGCUGCUAUGCGGAAUGUAUCUGCAACUGAAACAGCAAUUAUUUAUGGACUAGAACCAGUUUGGGGAGCUGGGUUUGCUUGGUUUCUUCUAGGUGAAAGAUGGGAUACUACAGGAUGGAUAGGGGCUGCUCUUCUUCUUGGUGGAAGUUUAAUUGUUCAAAUGUUUGGAUCUUUAUCAGGUACAGAAUCCGAAGAUUACGAGCAGUAAAUAAACGGGUUUUGUUGAUAUCAUUAGGCCCGGAAUGACAGUUCUGGGUAGCCUUGAUCUUGAUAAUGUAGCCAAUGGUAUGCAGUUUUUGUAUAUAUAAAUCCCCUCUUUUAUUUUUCUGUAAUUGUUGAUUUGUAAAUAACACCUGAUUUAGUUGAUAAAGUCCUGAGGCCUUAGGCCUGGCCGUGUAAAUAACAGUCUUCAAUAUGAUGCAUAUUUGUAUAUU